CAAUAGCGUAUAUUAAAGUUGUUGCGGUUAAAAAGCUCGUAGUUGGAUUUCUGGGAGGGUGCCGCCGUCCGGCGUGUCCGUGUGCAGUGGCGCCCUUCCAUCCUUCUGUUAGCGUCUCUUGGCAUUCAUUUGCUGGUGGCGGGCUCAGAUAUUUUACCUUGAGAAAAUUAGAGUGUUUCAGGCAGGCUAGGCCGGAAUACAUUAGCAUGGAAUAAUGGAAUAGGACUACGGUCUCUUUGUUGGUUUGAGGGACUGCAGUAAUGAUUAAUAGGGAUAGUUGGGGGCAUUAGUAUUUAAUUGUCAGAGGUGGAAUUCUCAGAUUUGUUAAAGACUAACUUAUGCGAAAGCAUUUGCCAAGGAUGUUUUCAUUAA
rnacentral:rRNA from 1 species